UCUGUCUCAAUAAAAACAAACAAGGCAACUGGACAUCCCUCCUCACGACCCCCCACCCCUUCAAAAGAAAAAAAAAAAGAGGAAGCUGAAGGAAACAGCAUUUCUCCCAAGGUGUGCUCUCAGAGUCUCUGGCCUGGCAGUGACGUCCCAGGAAGGAACGGCUGUGUGGUCAGACAGCCUUGGGGACCCAGUAUCUGCAGCUGGGGGUGUCCCUGCUGGCUCAGACCCUCACUCUGCCACUGCACUCUCUGCUCAAGGGCCACCUCCCCUGGGUGCCCAGACUCCAGCAGCCCCCACCAUGCUGCCCUCCCUGCCUGUCCCCAGCCGGCACUCUCUCCUCCAUGUCCUUGUUGCUUUCUCCACUCACAGUUCCGUGAGAGCAAGAACCUCGGCACCCCGGCCCUGGGGUGCACCUGGCUCAGAGUAGGGGUGGUGUCUACGGAUGGAUGGAUGGACGGACAUGGUACCCCCCGCCCGAACUCACAGUGCACGCGAAUGUAUCAGACGUGGCGCCUCCUACACCCAGGGGCUGGUGACACGCUGUGGAACUGACUUCCACGGAAUGUACUCUGGGAAAUCCCUCCCCACGACGGCCCCCAGGCUCCACUGCGGGGCUGCCAUUCCACAAGUGGCUCAAAUGAAAGUCCCUGCUGCAGGUGGCCAGGGCGUGUGGAGGGAGGCGAGCGAGCGUGGUGGCUGCCCGCUGCCCUCUCCGACUGGGUCCUCCCUCUCGCCUGCUUUCCGCUGAUGUCUGAACCCUGGAGCUGCCUCAACCUGAGAAGGAACAUGAGCAGGAAGGAACUUGCCAGAACAAGGGAAAAGCCCUUCCUGUAGCAUCCGAGUUUCUGAACAUGCAAUUGACUCGGCGGAUGCCAGGACCAACGGUGGUUGAAGGAGCCACUCUCUGGGGGCCUGAAAGACACAGAAGCCCGUUUGGCCAAAAGAAUCUCAGAAGUGUCAUAGAGCGCAUGACCUUGGUCUCUCCAGGGCAGGAGUCUGGCGAUUUCCUAGUUAAUGCCUGUAUGCAGCAUGCAGCACCUUCUAAAAUUAUCCGGAAACCCUCUGUUAGCACCUCCUCAAACGGUGCCUGCCCCACA